GACGAACGCUGGCGGCGUGCCUAAUACAUGCAAGUCGAGCGCUGGCGGAUGGUACUUGUACCCACUGGAUGAGCAGCGGACGGGUGAGUAACGCGUAGGGAAUCUGCCUUUGAGCGGGGGACAACAUUGGGAAACGAAUGAUGAUACCGCAUAAAACCUUUAAACACAAGAAUUAAGUUUGAAAGAUGCAAUUGCCUCACGAAAAGAUGAUCCCGCGUUGUAUUAGCUAGUUGGGGAGGGAAAGGCCCACCAAGGCGAUGAUACAUAGCCGACCUGAGAGGGUGGUCGGCCACAUGGGGAAUGGGACACGCCCCACACUCCCACGGGAGGCAGCAGAAGGGGAUCUUCGGCAAUAGACGAAAGUCUGACCGAGCAACGUCGCGUGAGUGAAGAAGGUUCUCGGAUCGUAAAACUCUGUUUGUAGGGAAGAACGUUGGUGAGAGUGGAAAGCUCAUCAAGUUACGGUAACUACCCAGAAAGGGACGGCUAACUACGUU
rnacentral:rRNA from 1 species